UCGACGGACUGCUUUCCUGAUAUUCCUCGCAAAGCAGAUUGAUUUACUGAUAUUUCCAUUGAAAUAAGUUUCUCUCUUGUUUUACUUUUUCCGAGGGAGAAAGACAGAUGGGGUGUUAUGCUUCGGCCUGGUUUUCUCAAAACCUUUGGAGAACGAGAGUCUAUGGAUUUCUGAAUUGUCUUAUUCUGACAGAGAAAGAUGAAUCUCUUACUCCUGUUCUUUCUAUGUUUCAUGGCAUGCAAAUGUUAUUCUCUAAUGUUCAUGAAAUUGCCAGUGUGAGACAAUGUAUCUUAAACGGUCUUAUGCUGAAAACGAGGUUUCAGCAUCAAGACCUCAAAUGGGUGGCCUGCAAUAUUGGAAUGUCAUGUUCUCUGAUAGAAUUGUGAGUGGCUUCUCUGUUUGCAAUUGGAAAUCCCAAACCCAAAAGGAAUUAAUUUUCUAUCGAAGGUAGAAUUCCAGUGUGUGUCCGAUCUUUGAUUCGUCGAUCGAGAAAUGGAAGUUGCACUAGUUGAAUUGGAUGCACUGUUGAUGAAGGGCUGGUCCUACUUGCUAUGGACUUGACCUUUUGAUCGCUUCUGACAUGGAGAGAGAAGAAUGGGCACUACUGUAAGCUCUGUCUAAUGCAACUAAGUAGAUAUUUGCGAGCACAGGUCUGGGUUUUAUUGCAGGUGCAAUUGAUGAAUGCAGAUUUGAAGCAAUUGUGAGUACAAGAUUUGGAGGAAUUGGGUUUAGAGAAUGAUUUUUUCUUGUUUCCCCAUAUAUGAAUUUGUAAGAUAUUAUUUUGCGUUUCAAUGUUGGCAAUGGAGUGUAUUUGAAGAUUUGGCCUUUGCAAAACAAGAACAUUCAUCCGAGAAUGUUAAAAAGACUAGCCAAUUAUGUGAAAUUGGUGCUCUUGCUAAAAUUAGCUGCACUUCAGUGUUUCAGCCAAUCCCAUUGACGACGAGAAAAUAUGUUUCGUUAGGCAGCUUGAUUUGUAAAUGUAUCCAUAGAAGGGAAUGUUGUAUAUCUGAUCAGUUCAUGUUGAUUAGAUGCUGCAGCCUGAAUGUUUUUUUGGAAAGA